rnacentral:misc_RNA from 1 species
GGAUGUAAAAGUCGUAACAAGGUUUCCGUAGGUGAACCUGCGGAAGGAUCAUUAUUGUAUAACCGAGGUGCGAGGGCUGUCGCUGACCCGAAAGGUCGUGCACGCCCGAGUGCCCUCACACACAUCCAUCUCACCCCUAUGUGCACCACCGCGUGGGUCCCCCUUUGGCUUGUUCGGAGGGGGGCUUACGUUUUCACACAAACUUUGUAUGCAGUGUAGAAUGUAUUUUUUGUUUUUGCGAUCACACAAUCAAUACAACUUUCAACAACGGAUCUCUUGGCUCUC